AGCAAGCCUGAGACUGGGAGGAAAUGGCCAAGAAUGUGUACCCAGAAGAUCUGAAGUGUUCCUGCGAAUGAGUAAUAAAAGACAAGAGAACAGCAGCAACAAAGAUGGGCAACUCCAACAGGUGAUUCCUGCAGAUCGAUGAAUGGAAAACAAGCACAUCAAAGUUGCUCAACGUCAUUUGCAUCCAGAGAAUGCAAAUUAAGCCGGCAGGGACCUAGGGUUCCACCCACGCAAGAGUGGAUGGACUGAAAAGCCCCACAAGACCAGGUGCUGCUGAGGACCGGGAGGACGGCUCCCUCUUACACUGAUGAGGAGAAUGCCAAAUGGUCCAGGCCUUUGGGAAACCAAACUAUUGCAUUUGGAAUGGGCACACCCCUUCACCCCCAUAUACCUGAACCCCGGGAAAGCAUUCAUCUCUUCUCCAUCUUGCUAAUCAAAUGUUACGUCAACAAUGUUAGAAUUUCUGGGUCACAGAGCACCUCUAUGUUUAACCUUUGGAAGAACUGGCAGACUGUUUUCCAAACUGGUUGCAUUAUUUUUCAGUCCUACCA